rnacentral:rRNA from 1 species
GAGCACGUAGGUGGGUUUGUAAGUCAGACGUGAAAGCCUUCUGUUCAACGGAAGAAUUGCAUCUGAAACUACAAACCUUGAGUGUAGGAGGGGAGAAUGGAACUUCUGGUGGAGCGGUGAAAUGCGUAGAUAUCAGAAGGAACGCCGGCGGCGAAAGCGAUUCUCUGGCCUAUUACUGACACUCAGUGUGCGAAAGCUAGGGGAGCAAACGGGAUUAGGUACCCCGGUAGUCCUAGCCGUAAACGAUGGGCACUAAGUAGAGGGAAUUACCGAUGUUCUCUCUGCCGUAGCUAACGCAUUAAGUGCCCCGCCUGGGGAGUACGGCCGCAAGGCUAAAACUCAAAAGAAUUGACGGGGGCUCGCACAAGCGGUGGAGCAUGUGGCUUAAUUCGAUGCAACGCGAAAAACCUUACCGGGGCUUGACAUGGUAGAAGUAGGAACCCGAAAGGGUAACGAACGGUAUUCAGUCCAUGGCUAUCACAGGUGUUGCAUGGCUGUCGUCAGCUCGCGUCGUGAGACGUUGGGUUAAGUCCCCUAACGAGCGAAACCCUUAUUUUUAGUUGCCAGCGGGUUGUGCCGGGCACUCUAGAAAGACUGCCGUCGUCAAGACGGAGGAAGGUGGGGAUGACGUCAAGUCAUCAUGGCCCUUAUGCCCCGGGCUGCACACGUGCUACAAUGGCCGGUACAAACGGAAGCGAAGCCGAGAGGUGAAGCGAAUUC